rnacentral:rRNA from 1 species
GGAUUAGAUACCCGGGUAGUCCACGCCCUAAACGAUGAAUACUCGCUGUUAGCGAUAUACAGUUAGCGGCUAAGCGAAAGCGUUAAGUAUUCCACCUGGGGAGUACGCCCGCAAGGGUGAAACUCAAAGGAAUUGACGGGGGCCCGCACAAGCGGAGGAGCAUGUGGUUUAAUUCGAUGAUACGCGAGGAACCUUACCCGGGCUUGAAAGUUAGUGACGAUACUAGAGAUAGUAUUUUGAGCAAUCACAACGAAACGUAGGUGCUGCAGUGGCUGUCGUCAGCUCGUCGCCGUGGAGGUUGGUUUAGGGUUAACGUCCCGAC